rnacentral:rRNA from 1 species
UCCAGACUCCUACGGGAGGCAGCAGUGAGGAAUAUUGGUCAAUGGGCGGGAGCCUGAACCAGCCAAGUCGCGUGAGGGACGACGGUCCUAUGGAUUGUAAACCUCUUUUGUCAGGGAGCAAAGGGCGCCACGUGUGGCGCUUUGCGAGUACCUGAAGAAAAAGCAUCGGCUAACUCCGUGCCAGCAGCCGCGGUAAUACGGAGGAUGCGAGCGUUAUCCGGAUUUAUUGGGUUUAAAGGGUGCGCAGGCGGAGGUGCAAGUCAGCGGUCAAAUUGCGGGGCUCAACCCCGUACUGCCGUUGAAACUGCAUCCCUUGAGUGCGCGAGAAGUAUGCGGAAUGCGUGGUGUAGCGGUGAAAUGCAUAGAUAUCACGCAGAACUCCGAUUGCGAAGGCAGCAUACCGGCGCGCAACUGACGCUCAUGCACGAAAGCGUGGGUAUCGAACAGGAUUAGAUUCCCCCGUA